rnacentral:rRNA from 1 species
AGGAUGACCGUUAGCGGCAGGGUUUAACACAUGCAAGUCGAGGGGCAGCAUGUCCAGCAAUGGAUGAUGGCGACCGGCGGAAAGGGUGCGUAACGCGUGAGCAACAUGCCCUAUACAGGGAGAUACACCAGGGAAACUUGGUCUAAUAUCCCAUAGCAUUCAUUGAAGGCAUCUUUAAUGAAUUAAAGCUUCGGUGGUAUAGGAUUGGCUCGCGUGACAUUAGCCAGAUGGUGAGGUAACGGCUCACCAUAGCAAUGAUGUCUAGGGGUUUUGAGAGGAAGGCCCCCCACACUGGGACUGAGACACGGCCCAGACUCCUACGGGAGGCAGCAGUGAGGAAUAUUGGACAAUGGAUGGAAAUCUGAUCCAGCCAUGCCGCGUGCAGGAAGACGGCCUUAUGGGUUGUAAACUGCUUUUAUACGGGAGCAAUAAGGGUUACGAGUAAUCCGAUGAGAGUACUGUAUGAAUAAGGAUCGGCUAACUCCGUGCCAGCAGCCGCGGUAAUACGGAGGAUCCGAGCGUUAUCCGGAAUUAUUGGGUUUAAAGGGUGCGUAGGCGGCCAUUUAAGUCAGCGGUGAAAUUUUGCAGCUUAACUGUAACAGUGCCGUUGAUACUGUUUGGCUAGGAUUUGGUUGUAGUGUGCGGAAUGUGUGGUGUAGCGGUGAAAUGCUUAGAUAUCACACAGAACACCGAUUGCGAAGGCAGCACACUAAGUCAUUAUUGACGCUGAGGCACGAAAGUGUGGGGAUCAAACAGGAUUAGAUACCCUGGUAGUCCACACUGUAAACGAUGAUAACUCGCUGUCGGCGAUACACAGUCGGUGCCAAGCGAAAGC